rnacentral:rRNA from 1 species
GUAUACGACCGUACCGCAAACCGACACUGGUGCGCGAGAUGAGUAUUCUAAGGCGCUUGAGAGAACUCAGGAGAAGGAACUCGGCAAAUUGACACCGUAACUUCGGAAGAAGGUGUGCCCUAUUAGUGUGUAGUGAACAACGAAGCAUGAAUGGGUUGCAAAAAAUCGGUGGCUGCGACUGUUUAUUAAAAACACAGCACUCUGCAAACACGAAAGUGGACGUAUAGGGUGUGACGCCUGCCCGGUGCUGGAAGAUUAAAUGAUGGGGUGCAAGCUCUUGAUUGAAGUCCCAGUAAACGGCGGCCGUAACAAUAACGGUCCUAAGGUAGCGAAAUUCCUUGUCGGGUAAGUUCCGACCUGCACGAAUGGCGUAACGAUGGCCACACUGUCUCCUCCUGAGACUCAGCGGAGUUGAAAUGUUUGUGAUGAUGCAAUCUCCCCGCGGAAAGACGGAAAGACCCCUUGAACCUUUACUGUAGCUUUGUAUUGGACUUUGAACAGAUCUGUGUAGGAUAGGUGGGAGGCUUUGAAGCAGGGUCGCUAGAUCUUGUGGAGCCAACGUUGAAAUACCACCCUGGUGUGUUUGAGGUUCUAACCUAGGUCCAUUAUCUGGAUCGGGGACAGUGCAUGGUAGGCAGUUUGACUGGGGCGGUCUCCUCCCAAAGCGUAACGGAGGAGUUCGAAGGUACGCUAGUUACGGUCGGACAUCGUGACGAUAGUGCAAUGGCAUAAGCGUGCUUAACUGCGAGACUGACAAGUCGAGCAGAUGCGAAAGCAGGACAUAGUGAUCCGGUGGUUCUGUAUGGAAGGGCCAUCGCUCAACGGAUAAAAGGUACUCUGGGGAUAACAGGCUGAUACCGCCCAAGAGUUCAUAUCGACGGCGGUGUUUGGCACCUCGAUGUCGGCUCAUCUCAUCCUGGGGCUGUAGCCGGUCCCAAGGGUAUGGCUGUUCGCCAUUUAAAGAGGUACGUGAGCUGGGUUUAAAACGUCGUGAGACAGUUUGGUCCCUAUCUUCCGUGGGCGCUGCAGAUUUGAGGAAGCCUGCUCCUAGUACGAGAGGACCGGAGUGGACACACCUCUGGUGUAUCGGUUGUCACGCCAGUGGCAUUGCCGAGUAGCUAAGUGUGGAAGAGAUAACCGCUGAAAGCAUCUAAGCGGGAAACUCGUUUCAAGAUGAGAUCUGCCGGGGCCUUGAGCCCCCUAAAGAGUCGUUCAAGACCAGGACGUUGAUAGGUCAGGUGUGGAAGCG